UACGGAGGGAGCAAGCGUUACUCGGAAUUAUUGGGCGUAAAGGGCGCGUAGGCGAUUUGAAAAGUCUUGUGUGAAAGCCCCGAGCUUAACUCGGGAAGUGCACAAGAAACUGUUGAAUUUGAGUUCCGGAGAGGAAGGCAGAAUUCCCGGUGUAGCGGUGAAAUGCGUAGAGAUCGGGAAGAACAUCGGUGGCGAAAGCGCUCUGCUGGACUGCAACUGACACUCAGGGACGAAAGCUAGGGGAGCGAAUGGG
rnacentral:rRNA from 1 species